rnacentral:rRNA from 1 species
UAGCCUUGACAUAUUUUAGAACUCCGCAGAGAUGCAGAGGUGCCUUCGGGAGCUAAUAUACAGGUGCUGCACGGCUGUCGUCAGCUCGUGUCGUGAGAUGUUGGGUUAAGUCCCGCAACGAGCGCAACCCUCGUCACUAGUUACUAACGGUUCGGCCGAGGACUCUAGUGAGACUGCCUUCGUAAGGAGGAGGAAGGUGAGGACGACGUCAAGUCAUCAUGGCCCUUACGGCUAGGGCAACACACGUGCUACAAUGGGCAGGACAAUGAGAUGCGAUACCGCGAGGUGGAGCAAAUCUAUAAACCUGUUCUCAGUUCGGAUUGUAGUCUGCAACUCGACUACAUGAAGCUGGAAUCACUAGUAAUCGUAGAUCAGCUAUGCUACGGUGAAUACGUUCCCGGGUCU